rnacentral:rRNA from 1 species
GUCGUAACAAGGUCUCCGUAGGUGAACCUGCGGAGGGAUCAUUACACAAAUAUGAAGACGGGCUGGAACCUCUCGGGGUUACAGCCUUGCUGAAUUAUUCACCCUUGUCUUUUGCGUACUUCUUGUUUCCUUGGUGGGUUCGCCCACCACUAGGACAAACAUAAACCUUUUGUAAUUGCAAUCAGCGUCAGUAACAAAUUAAUAAUUACAACUUUCAACAACGGAUCUCUUGGUUCUGGCAUCGAUGAAGAACGCAGCGAAAUGCGAUAAGUAGUGUGAAUUGCAGAAUUCAGUGAAUCAUCGAAUCUUUGAACGCACAUUGCGCCCUUUGGUAUUCCAAAGGGCAUGCCUGUUCGAGCGUCAUUUGUACCCUCAAGCUUUGCUUGGUGUUGGGCGUCUUGUCUCUAGCUUUGCUGGAGACUCGCCUUAAGGUAAUUGGCAGCCGGCCUACUGGUUUCGGAGCGCAGCACAAGUCGCACUCUCUAUCAGCAAAGGUCUAGCAUCCAUUAAGCCUUUUUUUCAACUUUUGACCUCGGAUCAGGUAGGGAUACCCGCUGAACUUAAGCAUAUCA